UCGGAUAUGGUGUAACGGCUAACAUUGCUGCCUCUCAUCAUCAUUAGAGAGUGUGUCCGCAGCAGCUCGGGGUUCGAUUCCCCGUAUCCGAA
rnacentral:tRNA from 1 species